AUUGAACGCUGGCGGCAUGCCUUACACAUGCAAGUCGAACGGUAACAGGUCUUCGGAUGCUGACGAGUGGCGAACGGGUGAGUAAUACAUCGGAACGUGCCCGAUCGUGGGGGAUAACGAAGCGAAAGCUUUGCUAAUACCGCAUAAGAUCUACGGGUGAAAGCAGGGGACCGCAAGGCCUUGCGCGAACGGAGCGGCCGAAGGCAGAUUAGGUAGUUGGUGGGAUAAAAGCUUACCAAGCCGACGAUCUGUAGCUGGUCUGAGAGGACGACCAGCCACACUGGGACUGAGACACGGCCCAGACUCCUACGGGAGGCAGCAGUGGGGAAUUUUGGACAAUGGGCGAAAGCCUGAUCCAGCCAUGCCGCGUGCAGGAUGAAGGCCUUCGGGUUGUAAACUGCUUUUGUACGGAACGAAAAGACUCUUUCUAAUAAAGAGGGUCCAUGACGGUACCGUAAGAUUAAGCACCGGCUAACUACGUGCCAGCAGCCGCAGUAACAC
rnacentral:rRNA from 1 species